UAAUUGAGAGAUGGAGGUGGAGAAAAGACGGUCAAAGGGAGGCUUCCUACAAUUUUUCGACUGGAAUAGCAAGUCCAGGAAGAAGCUGCUCUCGAACAGUCCUGAUAUACCUGGUCCUGAUGGAGUUAAGCAAGGAACAGAGGAUGCAGAGAUCUUGGCGAAGUCAAGAGCCUCGUUUAGAAGUCAAAGUCAAUGAUAUUCUCGUGCCAGGAAGUUUCACUGUUUCUCAUUCGAGUAAUCAAAUUCCCAACUAAGCAUGUUACUAGAAACCAGGAUUAAAUCAAGUAUAGCUAUUUCCCAUUUCAAACUAUAAUUGUCACUAAACCUUGAAAUUAUACAGAUUUUCUUUUCAAACUCUUGAAAGUCUUUUCAUAAGUGAAGACAAGAUAAAGAUAUUUGCAUUUUCACACGGCGAUCAGAUAUCAAAGGGAAAAUAUGCAAGCAAAUCACUGGAGCUUAAUCUUGAAGAAGAAAAGGACAUUUAUGCAA